rnacentral:lncRNA from 1 species
UCAAUGGAUUACGUGAACGAGAAUGAUUCGUUCACCAAAAAGAUUCGUUCAAAAAGAACGAUUCGUUCACGAACGUAACAACACUACUGAAGCCAUAACACGACGUUCACUCACCCCGAAUAUUUUGGGCUCCUUUUUGUUUGUCUUGUAGCUUUUCCUCUACCAGAGUUGGGCUAGUGUUCACUGCCAGGUCCGUCGACACGGUCAAAGCCAUCCUUCGUUUUCAACUCUCUGUUCCCGUCAGUCACGAGCUUUCUAGGAUUCUCACAUUCGAGUACCUAAAUCGAGUUUUAGCUGGGUUUUCAAGACGUCAAGCAACCAAAUGCCUUCUGCUGACUCGGAUCCUCCCAAAUUCCAUCGCCUGUUCAAGUUUUAUGACCCUGAAGUGGUGGCAGUAAGUGGAUGUGGACCAAAUAAUUUGUCAUUAAGGAAGACAGAUAAUGCUUAUGGCAAUAUUACUAGGUUUGUUCCAGCUCCUCCUGACUAUACCAACCUACAACAUCAGCAUUGAUAUAAAAUAUUUGUUUGUGUGCCCCCUCUGUGUUGGUUCUGUGUCUGUGAUUGCUGGAUCAUUUGGUUUGGCAUCUGAAAGAACUCCUAAGAGAGAACUGUUAAAAAACUCUCUGAUCUUUGGUCUUGCUGGCCUGGUGGGGACACUGAUUGGUCUUAUUCUGUAUGCUUAUGCUGCAAAUACGUCUCUGGACAUCCCUCCUUGCUCACUUGAAUCCCAUGAAGACGAUGCUUGUCCACAAACAAUCUUUCAAAGUUUUUACAAAGUGAUCUCUGGGCAGCUGUUGCUUUGUGAUAUAGCAGCUCUGGUUCUUCAUUGUUUCCUAUCAUUUUCUGCAUUUAAAGGACUGAGAAUACACUAAGAUUGCAUUAUCCAUACACCUUCUCUUUUAGGCACAGAUUUUUUACGAGCAUUUAAUCUUUAUAUUUAAAUUAGUAUUUUGUCUCUAAAUCAUAAUCAUUGCUAUUGUUUUUCUAUCUUUGUUUUUUUUUCCUUAAAAUUGUGAAUUUACAAUAUUGUCAUGUACAAAACACAUAUUUGGAAGUCUUUGUGAAACUGGAGGCAUUAACUUACACUGUAAACAUUUUACCUGCUAUUACUGAACAUGUAAGAUUAUUUGCUACAUUAUUAUUAUUAUUAAGUAAAAAAAAUGGUGUCAAAGUUACAACCUUGAUGAUGGUAUUUUCGACCACUUUGUUUCAUUAGCCAUGAAAUCAUUUCUAUGAAACGAUCAAUGAAACUCUGAAAGCUCAUAAAAUCACAAAUUACUUUGACAAAUGAAAUGGAUAUAAUCAAAUAUGUAAAAUAAAUGAUGAAAAUGUAUAGUUUUUAAGUGCCUGUAAUUCCAAACGCUAAAUUAAUGUUCUACUAUACUACUCUUUAGUGCUUAUAUUUGUAAAGUUGUAAGACAAUUCUUUCUGCAAUAUUAAACUUCUAUAUAAAAAAAAAUUAUGUUGCCUUUCUGGUGAAAUAUUAGGACCAAC